CGGGAAUAUUGCGCAAUGGAGGAAACUCUGACGCAGUGACGCCGCGUAUAGGAAGAAGGUUUUCGGAUUGUAAACUAUUGUCGUUAGGGAAGAGAAAGGACAGUACCUAAGGAGGAAGCUCCGGCUAACUACGUGCCAGCAGCCGCGGUAAUACGUAGGGAGCGAGCGUUAUCCGGAAUUAUUGGGUGUAAAGGGUGCGUAGACGGGAAGAUAAGUUAGUUGUGAAAUCCCUCGGCUUAACUGAGGAACUGCAACUAAAACUGUUUUUCUUGAGUGCAGGAGAGGUAAGUGGAAUUCCUAGUGUAGCGGUGAAAUGCGUAGAUAUUAGGAGGAACACCAGUGGCGAAGGCGACUUACUGGACUGUAACUGACGUUGAGGCACGAAAGUGUGGGGAGCAAAC
rnacentral:rRNA from 1 species